CAUCGCCUCCUGCCCACUCAGCAUAGGAGGUCCCGCCUGCCCUGUGACCAAAAGUUUAACGGCCGCGGUAUUUUAACCGUGCAAAGGUAGCGCAAUCAAUUGUCUUUUAAAUGAAGACCUGUAUGAAUGGCAUAACGAGGGUUUAACUGUCUCUUUUUUCAGGUCAAUGAAACUGAUCUGUCCGUGCAGAAGCGGACAUAUUAACACAAGACGAGAAGACCCUAUGGAGCUUUAGACGCCCACCAACCACGAAAAGCAGCCUACCUAAACAGAUGCUCUAAACAACGCGGUCCUGGUACAAACGUCUUCGGUUGGGGCGACCGCGGAGGAGAACAAAGCCUCCGAGAGGAAUGGGAACAAACCCUAGAACCAAGAGCCACAGCUCUAAGUCACAAAAAAUUUGACCGACAAUGAUCCGGCUUACUGCCGAUCAACGGACCAAGUUACCCUAGGGAUAACAGCGCAAUCCCCUCCCAGAGUCCAUAUCGACGAGGGGGUUUACGACCUCGAUGUUGGAUCAGGACAUCCUAAUGGUGCAGCCGCUAUUAAGGGUUCGUUUGUUCAACGAUUAAAGUCCUACGUG
rnacentral:rRNA from 1 species